rnacentral:rRNA from 1 species
UACAGAGGUCCCGAGCGUUGUUCGGAUUCACUGGGCGUAAAGGGCGCGUAGGCGGCCACCGCAAGUCGGUUGUGAAAUCUCUGGGCUUAACCCAGAAAGGUCAACCGAUACUGCGGGGCUAGAGUGCAGAAGGGGCAACUGGAAUUCUUGGUGUAGCGGUGAAAUGCGUAGAUAUCAAGAGGAACACCUGCGGCGAAGGCGGGUUGCUGGGCCGACACUGACGCUGAAGUGCGAAAGCUAGGGGGAGCGAACGGG